rnacentral:lncRNA from 1 species
AGCUGCUGCAACCAGCUCCUAUGGCUGGAGUCUAGGCCGUCUCCCCUCAUCCACCUAGAAGCCUGCUGCAACCAGCUCCUACGGCUGGAGUCUAGGCCGUCUCCCCUCAUCCACCUAGAAGCCUGCCAUGGCUGCUGCCAGCUGCAGCAGCCACAUAGGCCAUGAAGGUGGCGUGUUGCCUUGAUGUGUGUGAGAGCAUCCAUCCGUGUGGAUUGUGUCCUUCUCAAUGAAGGACUGUGUUCCCCUUGAGGUAACUGAGCUGGCUUGCCCACACUGGCUCAGUCUCUUCAGAAAGAGGUGACCUUUGCUGUGCUGGGUUCCCCUCAGGCCUAGUUAAGGUGGCCUCUUGUCUCAAGACCUUUGCCACUCAGAACUGACCCUGGUCCCUCCUUUUGGAAGGGUACUACUGACUCACUGACACAAACAGCCAGAACCUCAGGGCUGGAGGCAAGUGUCUGAGACCUGGACUGUUUCACCAAAGAUCUGGUGCCUGUGGUCCCUUGUCUCGUGGGGACUUGAGGGCAGGAAAGGAGAACUCUAGAACUGAAGUCUCCUUUACAGGGGAGGAAAUAAAGUAGUGGGGUGCUGACACC